rnacentral:lncRNA from 1 species
CUCAGUUUUGAAAUAUUUUUUACAAAGGCAUGUGCUGACACGUGGGGCAUAAUGGUUGGGGACUUUUUUUAUAUUUAAAAGUAGUAUAGCCGAACGGCUAUACUCAGUUUUGAAAUUUUUUUUAAAAAAGACACGUGUUGACACGUGUCGCCUAUUGGAUGGGAGAACUUUUUUUACAUUUAAGAAGUAUAGCCGGCCGGCUGUACUCAGUUUUGAAAAUUUUAUUUUUUUUAUAUUUAAAAAUAGUAUAGCCGCGCGGCUAUACUCAGUUUUGAAAUGUUUUUUAAAAAGACAUGUGUUGACACGUGGCUCCUAUUGGUUGGGGGAACUUUUUCUACAUUUAAAGCAGUACAGCCGGCCGGCUGUACUCAGUUUUGAAAAUUUUAUUUUUUUUUAUAUUUAAAAAUAGUACAGCCGCGCGGCUAUACUCAGUUUUGAAAUUUUUUUCAAAAGACAUGUGUCGACACGUGGCGCCUAUUGGUUGGGAGAAAUUUUUAUAUACGGAAAACACGUAUAGCCGCCCGGCUAUACUCGGUUUUGAAAUUUUUAUUUUUUUUAUAUUCAAAAAUAGUAUAGCCGCGCGGCUAGACUCAGUUUUGAUUUUUUUUCAAAAAGACAUGUGUUGACACGUGGCGCCUAUUGGUUGGGGGCCCUUUUUUUAUAUUUAAAAAUAGUACAGCCGCGCGGCUACACUCAGUUUAGCAAUUUUUUUUUUUUAAAUUUUAAAAAAGUACAUGUGUUGACAUGUGGCUCCUAUUUGUUGGGGGACUUUUUUUAUAUUAAAAAAUAGUAUAGCCAACCGGCUAUACUUACUUUUUUUUAUUUAAAAAAAAAUAGAAGCCAAUUGGGCUUCAAAUUCAACUUGGGCAUUGAAUAUUUAAUAUUUAAUUAUCAAAAAGAUGGCCUUGGGCCUUGGGGCACUUGGGUAUUUAGUUUCAAAUUAAUAAUUUUUUUUAAUAAUUAAUUCAUACUAGUUUAAUUAAUUUGACUGGGGGACUAUUUUAAUUUUUAAUAAUAAAUAGUAUAAUAUAUUGCCGUUGAUAAUGGUGUUAUACAAAUACAUACGUAUUUUUCAAUAAAUAGUAUAGACGAGCGGCUAUAAUCUUUUAGAUAUGUAUUCACACACACACACACACACACAUAUGUAGGUACGUAUUUUUCAACAAUACAUUCGUGUUCUAUACACGUCUCACGUUUUCUUUAAAAAGCAAACAUACAAUAGUCGUAUUGUACAUGUACGUACGUAUUACUAAUGUUUUAUACACGUAUUUUUUUUAAAAUUUUCAGUAACACACACAAAUUCACGUAUUAUACAAAUAAUUCUCACAUAUUAUUGAAUAAGAAUAACACCUGGUACAAAAAUUAUAUUAAAAUAUCAAAUAGUGGAACAUUAAUACCUACUUUGGAUAUGUUGCAAAUUAAUAUCCAUAAGGUACAAACCAAUGCAACUAGGAGGGUCUUUAUUUUUUUUGUUUUUAGGGGAAGACUAAGAGUACAGCCGCCCGGCUAUACUCCAUGUUUUCAAAUUUUUUAAAAAAGAUAUGUGUUGACACGAGGGUCCAAAUGGCAGGAGUCUUUUUUACAUUUUAAAAACGUAUAGCCGCAAGGCUAUACUCAGUUUUGAAAUAUUUUUUACAAAGGCAUGUGCUGACACGUGGGGCAUAAUGGUUGGGGACUUUUUUUAUAUUUAAAAGUAGUAUAGCCGAACGGCUAUACUCAGUUUUGAAAUUUUUUUUAAAAAAGACACGUGUUGACACGUGGCGCCUAUUGGAUGGGAGAACUUUUUUUACAUUUAAGAAGUAUAGCCGGCCGGCUGUACUCAGUUUUGAAAAUUUUAUUUUUUUAUAUUUAAAAAUAGUAUAGCCGCGCGGCUAUACUCAGUUUUGAAAUGUUUUUUAAAAAGACAUGUGUUGACACGUGGCUCCUAUUGGUUGGGGGAACUUUUUCUACAUUUAAAGCAGUACAGCCGGCCGGCUGUACUCAGUUUUGAAAAUUUUAUUUUAUUUUAUAUUUAAAAAUAGUACAGCCGCGCGGCUAUACUCAGUUUUGAAAUUUUUUUCAAAAGACAUGUGUCGACACGUGGCGCCUAUUGGUUGGGAGAAAUUUUUAUAUACGGAAAACACGUAUAGCCGCCCGGCUAUACUCGGUUUUGAAAUUUUUAUUUUUUUUAUAUUCAAAAAUAGUAUAGCCGCGCGGCUAGACUCAGUUUUGAUUUUUUUUCAAAAAGACAUGUGUUGACACGUGGCGCCUAUUGGUUGGGGGCCCUUUUUUUAUAUUUAAAAAUAGUACAGCCGCGCGGCUACACUCAGUUUAGCAAUUUUUUUUUUUUUAAAUUUUAAAAAAGUACAUGUGUUGACAUGUGGCUCCUAUUUGUUGGGGGACUUUUUUUAUAUUAAAAAAUAGUAUAGCCAACCGGCUAUACUUACUUUUUUUUAUUUAAAAAAAAAUAGAAGCCAAUUGGGCUUCAAAUUCAACUUGGGCAUUGAAUAUUUAAUAUUUAAUUAUCAAAAAGAUGGCCUUGGGCCUUGGGGCACUUGGGUAUUUAGUUUCAAAUUAAUAAUUUUUUUUAAUAAUUAAUUCAUACUAGUUUAAUUAAUUUGACUGGGGGACUAUUUUAAUUUUUAAUAAUAAAUAGUAUAAUAUAUUGCCGUUGAUAAUGGUGUUAUACAAAUACAUACGUAUUUUUCAAUAAAUAGUAUAGACGAGCGGCUAUAAUCUUUUAGAUAUGUAUUCACACACACACACACACACACACAUAUGUAGGUACGUAUUUUUCAACAAUACAUUCGUGUUCUAUACACGUCUCACGUUUUCUUUAAAAAGCAAACAUACAAUAGUCGUAUUGUACAUGUACGUACGUAUUACUAAUGUUUUAUACACGUAUUUUUUUUAAAAUUUUCAGUAACACACACAAAUUCACGUAUUAUACAAAUAAUUCUCACAUAUUAUUGAAUAAGAAUAACACCUGGUACAAAAAUUAUAUUAAAAUAUCAAAUAGUGGAACAUUAAUACCUACUUUGGAUAUGUUGCAAAUUAAUAUCCAUAAGGUACAAACCAAUGCAACUAGGAGGGUCUUUAUUUUUUUUGUUUUUAGGGGAAGACUAAGAGUACAGCCGCCCGGCUAUACUCCAUGUUUUCAAAUUUUUUAAAAAAGAUAUGUGUUGACACGAGGGUCCAAAUGGCAGGAGUCUUUUUUACAUUUUAAAAACGUAUAGCCGCAAGGCUAUACUCAGUUUUGAAAUAUUUUUUACAAAGGCAUGUGCUGACACGUGGGGCAUAAUGGUUGGGGACUUUUUUUAUAUUUAAAAGUAGUAUAGCCGAACGGCUAUACUCAGUUUUGAAAUUUUUUUUAAAAAAGACACGUGUUGACACGUGGCGCCUAUUGGUUGGGAGAACUUUUUUUACAUUUAAGAAGUAUAGCCGGCCGGCUGUACUCAGUUUUGAAAAUUUUAUUUUUUUAUAUUUAAAAAUAGUAUAGCCGCGCGGCUAUACUCAGUUUUGAAAUGUUUUUUUAAAAAGACAUGUGUUGACACGUGGCUCCUAUUGGUUGGGGGAACUUUUUCUACAUUUAAAGCAGUACAGCCGGCCGGCUGUACUCAGUUUUGAAAAUUUUAUUUUUUUUAUAUUUAAAAAUAGUAUAGCCGAGCGGCUAUACUCAGUUUUGAAAAUUUUUUCAAAAGACAUGUGUCGACACGUGGCGCCUAUUGGUUGGGAGAAAUUUUUAUAUACGGAAAACAAGUAUAGCCGCCCGGCUAUACUCAGUUUUGAAAUUUUUAUUUUUUAUAUUUAAAAAUAGUAUAGCCGCCCGGCUAUACGCAGUUUUGAAUUUUUUUGGAAAGACAUGUGUUGACACGUGGCGCCUAUUGGUUAGGGGCCCCUUUUUUUAUAUUUAAAAAUAGUACAGCCGCGCGGCUAUACUCAGUUAAAAGAAAAAGUACAUGUGUUGACAUGUGGCUCCUAUUUGUUGGGGGACCUUUUUUUAUAUUUAAAAAUAGUAUAGCCGCCCGGCUAUACUUACUUUUUUUAUUUAAAAAAAAUAGAAGCCAAUUGGGCUUCAAAUUCUAUUUGGGCAUUGAAUAUUUAAUAUUUAAUUAUCAAAAAGAUGGCCUUGGGCCUUGGGGCACUUGGGCAUUUUGAUUUAAAUUAAUUAUUUAGUUUCAAAUUAAUAAUUUUUUUAAUAAUUAAUUCAUACUAGUUUAAUUAAUUUGACUGGGGGACUAUUUUAAUUUUUAAUAAUAAAUAGUAUAAUAUAUUGCCGUUAAUAAUGGUAUUAUACAAAUACAUACGUAUUUUUCAAUAAAUAGUGUAGACGAGCGGCUAUAAUCUUUUAGAUAUGUAUUCAUAUAUAUAUAUACACACACACACACACACACACACACACACACACAUAUGUAGGUACGUAUUUUUCAACAAUACAUUCGUGUUCUAUACACGUCUCACGUUUUCUUUAAAAAGCAAACAUACAAUAGUCGUAUUGUACAUGUACGUACGUAUUACUAAUGUUUUAUACACGUAUUUUUUUUUAAAAUUUUCAGUAACACACACAAAUUCACGUAUUAUACAAAUAAUUCUGACAUAUUAUUGAAUAAGAAUAACACCUGGUACAAAAAUUAUAUUAAAAUAUCAAAUAGUGGAACAUUAAUACCUACUUUGGAUAUGUUGCAAAUUAAUAUCCAUAAGGUACAAACCAAUGCAACUAGGAGGGUCUUUUUUUUUAAUUUUAGGGGAAGAAAAAGAGUAUUUAUUAUACUAUUUAUUAUUAAAAUUUAAAAUUAAAAUAGUCCCCAAGUGCCCCAAGGCCCAAGGGCAUCUUUUUGACUAGGGGGCUAUUUUAAUUUUAAAUUUUAAUAAUAAAUAGUAUAAUAUAUUGCCGUUAAUAAUCGUGUUAUACAAAUACAUACGUAUUUUUUCAAUAAAUAGUAUAGACGAGCGGCUAUAGUUUUUUAGAUAUGUAUUGAUAUAUAUAUACACACACACAUAUGUUUGUACGUAUUUUUCAACAACACAUUCGUGUUCUAUACACGUGUCACGUUUUCUUUAAGAAGCAAACAUACAGUAGUCGUAUUGUACAUGUACGUACGUAUUACUAAUGUUUUAUACGCGUGUUGUUUUUAAAAAAUAUCAGUAACAGACACAAAUUCACGUAUUAUACAAAUAAGUCUCACAUAUUAUUGAAUAAGAAUAACACAUGGUACAAAAAUUAUAUUAAAAUAUCAAAUAGUGGAACGUUAAUAUCUACUUUGGAUAUGUUGCAAAUUAAUAUCCAUAAGUUACAAACCAAUGCAACUAGGAGGGUCUUUUUUUUGGUUUUUAGGGGAAGAAAAAGAGUACAGCCGGACGGCUAUACUCCAUGUUUUCAAUUUUUUUUAAAAAGAUAUGUGUUGACACGAGGGUCCAAAUGGCAGGAGUCUGUUUUAUAUUAAAAAAUAUUAUAUCCGCACAGCUAUACUCAGUUUUGAAAUAUUUUUUACAAAGUCAUGUGUUGACACGUGGGGCAUAAUGGUUGGGGUCUUUUUUUAUAUUUAAAAAUAGUAUAGCCGAACGGCUAUACUCAGUUUUGAAAUUUUUUUAAAAAAAGACAUGCGUUGACACGUGGCGCCUAUUGGUUGGGGG